AUUGAACGCUGGCGGCAGGCCUAACACAUGCAAGUCGAACGAGCGUCGGACGGGUGAGUAAUGUAUGGGGACUGCCCGAUAGAGGGGGAUAACUACUGGAGAAGGUAGCUAAUACCACAGACUAUCGGAUAACCCAUAUGGGAUUAGCUAGUGGGUGAGGUAAUGGCUCACCUAGGCGACGAUCCCUAGCUGGUCUGAGAGGAUGAUCAGCCACACGGGGACUGAGACACGGCCCAGACUCCUACGGGGGCAGCAGUGGGGAAUAUUGCACAAUGGGCGCAAGCCUGAUGCAGCCAUGCCGCGUGUAUGAAGAAGGCCCUAGGGUUGUAAAGUACUUUCGGUCGGGAGGCGUUACCGACAGAAGAAGCACCGGCUAACUCCGUGCCAGCAGCCACGGUAAUAC
rnacentral:rRNA from 1 species